UACGUAGGGUGCGAGCGUUGUCCGGAAUUAUUGGGCGUAAAGAGCUCGUAGGCGGUUUGUCGCGUCGACUGUGAAGACCUACAGCUUAACUGUGGGCUUGCAGUCGAUACGGGGCAGACUUGAGUUCGGUAGGGGAGACUGGAAUUCCUGGUGUAGCGGUGGAAUGCGCAGAUAUCAGGAGGAACACCGAUGGCGAAGGCAGAUCUCCUGGGCCGUAACUGACGCUGAGGAGCGAAAGCUGGGGAGCGAACAGG
rnacentral:rRNA from 1 species